rnacentral:lncRNA from 1 species
UGAGGCUGAGAAACUGGCUUUCAACAUUAAUUGACCUAUUAUUGUUUUUAUAACAUAUCAAUCUAUUAGUUCAGUCAGUUAUUUCCAUGUCUGUCCUUCGAUUAUGCAACUCGAGAAAAUAUUCCAAAAAAUGGGAAACAAUUGUAUCGAAAAGAGAAAAUCGAGUGCACCUUUUUUUAUGUUAGGGUGUGUUUGAGAUCAAUAUUUUGUCUUGAAAAUGUACAAAACAAGAGUAUUUGAUGCAUCAUCUCGCU